AUUGAACGCUGGCGGCAGGCCUAACACAUGCAAGUCGAACGAGUGGCGGACGGGUGAGUAAUGUCUGGGAAACUGCCCGAUGGAGGGGGAUAACUACUGGAAACGGUAGCUAAUACCGCAUACCAUCGGAUGUGCCCAGAUGGGAUUAGCUAGUAGGUGGGGUAACGGCUCACCUAGGCGACGAUCCCUAGCUGGUCUGAGAGGAUGACCGGCCACACUGGAACUGAGAUACGGCCCAGACUCCUACGGGAGGCAGCAGUGGGGGAUAUUGCACAAUGGGCGCAAGCCUGAUGCAGCGACGCCGCGUGAGGGAUGAAGGCUUUCGGGUUGUAAACCUCUUUCGGUACAGAACGGGUAUGUGCAGAAGAAGCGCCGGCUAACUACGUGCCAGCAGCCGCGGUAAUAC
rnacentral:rRNA from 1 species